rnacentral:rRNA from 1 species
UACGGGGGGGGCAAGCGUUGUUCGGAAUUACUGGGCGUAAAGGGCUCGUAGGUGGCCAACUAAGUCGGACGUGAAAUCCCUCAGCUUAACUGGGGAACUGCGUCUGAUACUGGAUGGCUUGAGUUUGGGAGAGGGAUGCGGAAUUCCAGGUGUAGCGGUGAAAUGCGUAGAUAUCUGGAGGAACACCGGUGGCGAAGGCGGCAUCCUGGACCAACACUGACACUGAGGAGCGAAAGCCAGGGGAGCAAACGGG